AGAGACAGCAGUAGCCGCGGUAAUACGAAGGGUGCAAGCGUUAAUCGGAAUUACUGGGCGUAAAGCGUGCGUAGGCGGUUUGUUAAGUCUGUUGUGAAAUCCCCGGGCUCAACCUGGGAAUGGCAAUGGAUACUGGCAAGCUAGAGUGUGUCAGAGGAUGGUGGAAUUCCCGGUGUAGCGGUGAAAUGCGUAGAGAUCGGGAGGAACAUCAGUGGCGAAGGCGACUAUCUGGGCCAACACUGACACUGAGGCACGAAAGCGUGGGGAGCAAACAGGAUUAGAUACCCGAGUAGUCCCUGUCUCUUAUAC
rnacentral:rRNA from 1 species